rnacentral:rRNA from 1 species
GGGUUGUGAGGUUAAGCGACUAAGCGUACACGGUGGAUGCCCUGGCAGUCAGAGGCGAUGAAGGACGUGCUAAUCUGCGAUAAGCGUCGGUAAGGUGAUAUGAACCGUUAUAACCGGCGAUUUCCGAAUGGGGAAACCCAGUGUGUUUCGACACACUAUCAUUAACUGAAUCCAUAGGUUAAUGAGGCGAACCGGGGGAACUGAAACAUCUAAGUACCCCGAGGAAAAGAAAUCAACCGAGAUUCCCCCAGUAGCGGCGAGCGAACGGGGAGCAGCCCAGAGCCUGAAUCAGUGUGUGUGUUAGUGGAAGCGUCUGGAAAGGCGCGCGAUACAGGGUGACAGCCCCGUACACAAAAAUGCACAUAUUGUGAGCUCGAUGAGUAGGGCGGGACACGUGGUAUCCUGUCUGAAUAUGGGGGGACCAUCCUCCAAGGCUAAAUACUCCUGACUGACCGAUAGUGAACCAGUACCGUGAGGGAAAGGCGAAAAGAACCCCGGCGAGGGGAGUGAAAAAGAACCUGAAACCGUGUACGUACAAGCAGUGGGAGCACGCUUAGGCGUGUGACUGCGUACCUUUUGUAUAAUGGGUCAGCGACUUAUAUUCUGUAGCAAGGUUAACCGAAUAGGGGAGCCGAAGGGAAACCGAGUCUUAACUGGGCGUUAAGUUGCAGGGUAUAGACCCGAAACCCGGUGAUCUAGCCAUGGGCAGGUUGAAGGUUGGGUAACACUAACUGGAGGACCGAACCGACUAAUGUUGAAAAAUUAGCGGAUGACUUGUGGCUGGGGGUGAAAGGCCAAUCAAACCGGGAGAUAGCUGGUUCUCCCCGAAAGCUAUUUAGGUAGCGCCUCGUGAAUUCAUCUCCGGGGGUAGAGCACUGUUUCGGCAAGGGGGUCAUCCCGACUUACCAACCCGAUGCAAACUGCGAAUACCGGAGAAUGUUAUCACGGGAGACACACGGCGGGUGCUAACGUCCGUCGUGAAGAGGGAAACAACCCAGACCGCCAGCUAAGGUCCCAAAGUCAUGGUUAAGUGGGAAACGAUGUGGGAAGGCCCAGACAGCCAGGAUGUUGGCUUAGAAGCAGCCAUCAUUUAAAGAAAGCGUAAUAGCUCACUGGUCGAGUCGGCCUGCGCGGAAGAUGUAACGGGGCUAAACCAUGCACCGAAGCUGCGGCAGCGACGCUGAUGCGUUGUUGGGUAGGGGAGCGUUCUGUAAGCCUGUGAAGGUGCGCUGUGAGGCAUGCUGGAGGUAUCAGAAGUGCGAAUGCUGACAUAAGUAACGAUAAAGCGGGUGAAAAGCCCGCUCGCCGGAAGACCAAGGGUUCCUGUCCAACGUUAAUCGGGGCAGGGUGAGUCGACCCCUAAGGCGAGGCCGAAAGGCGUAGUCGAUGGGAAACAGGUUAAUAUUCCUGUACUUGGUGUUACUGCGAAGGGGGGACGGAGAAGGCUAUGUUGGCCGGGCGACGGUUGUCCCGGUUUAAGCGUGUAGGCUGGUUUUCCAGGCAAAUCCGGAAAAUCAA